rnacentral:rRNA from 1 species
UGAGUAACGACAAAGGGGGUGAAAAACCUCCUCGCCGGAAGACCAAGGGUUCCUGUCCAACGUUAAUCGGGGCAGGGUGAGUCGACCCCUAAGGUGAGGCCGAAAGGCGUAAUCGAUGGGAAACGGGUUAAUAUUCCCGUACUUCUGACUAUUGCGAUGGGGGGACGGAGAAGGCUAGGUGGGCCAGGCGACGGUUGUCCUGGUUCAAGUGCGUAGGCUUGAGAGUUAGGUAAAUCCGGCUCUCUCUAAGGCUGAGACACGACGUCGAGCUACUACGGUAGUGAAGUCAUUGAUGCCAUGCUUCCAGGAAAAGCCUCUAAGCUUCAGAUAGUCAGGAAUCGUACCCCAAACCGACACAGGUGGUCGGGUAGAGAAUACCAAGGCGCUUGAGAGAACUCGGGUGAAGGAACUAGGCAAAAUGGUACCGUAACUUCGGGAGAAGGUACGCUCUUGAUGGUGAAGUCCCUCGCGGAUGGAGCUGACGAGAGUCGCAGAUACCAGGUGGCUGCAACUGUUUAUUAAAAACACAGCACUGUGCAAAAUCGCAAGAUGACGUAUACGGUGUGACGCCUGCCCGGUGCCGGAAGGUUAAUUGAUGGGGUUAGCGCAAGCGAAGCUCUUGAUCGAAGCCCCGGUAAACGGCGGCCGUAACUAUAACGGUCCUAAGGUAGCGAAAUUCCUUGUCGGGUAAGUUCCGACCUGCACGAAUGGCGUAAUGAUGGCCACGCUGUCUCCACCCGAGACUCAGUGAAAUUGAAAUCGCUGUGAAGAUGCAGUGUACCCGCGGCUAGACGGAAAGACCCCGUGAACCUUUACUACAGCUUGGCACUGAACAUUGAACCUACAUGUGUAGGAUAGGUGGGAGGCUAUGAAGACGUGACGCCAGUUGCGUUGGAGCCGUCCUUGAAAUACCACCCUUGUAUGUUUGAUGUUCUAACUUAGACCCAUUAUCUGGGUUGAGGACAGUGCCUGGUGGGUAGUUUGACUGGGGCGGUCUCCUCCCAAAGAGUAACGGAGGAGCACGAAGGUGGGCUAAUCACGGUUGGACAUCGUGAGGUUAGUGCAAUGGCAUAAGCCCGCUUAACUGCGAGAAUGACGGUUCGAGCAGGUGCGAAAGCAGGUCAUAGUGAUCCGGUGGUUCUGUAUGGAAGGGCCAUCGCUCAACGGAUAAAAGGUACUCCGGGGAUAACAGGCUGAUACCGCCCAAGAGUUCAUAUCGACGGCGGUGUUUGGCACCUCGAUGUCGGCUCAUCACAUCCUGGGGCUGAAGUCGGUCCCAAGGGUAUGGCUGUUCGCCAUUUAAAGUGGUACGCGAGCUGGGUUUAGAACGUCGUGAGACAGUUCGGUCCCUAUCUGCCGUGGGCGUUGGAAGAUUGAAGGGGGCUGCUCCUAGUACGAGAGGACCGGAGUGGACGAACCUCUGGUGUUCGGGUUGUGUCGCCAGACGCAUUGCCCGGUAGCUAAGUUCGGAAUUGAUAAGCGCUGAAAGCAUCUAAGCGCGAAGCGAGCCCUGAGAUGAGUCUUCCCUGACAGUUUAACUGUCCUAAAGGGUUGUUCGAGACUAGAACGUUGAUAGGCAGGGUGUGUAAGCGUUGUGAGGCGUUGAGCUAACCUGUACUAAUUGCCCGUGAGGCUUAACCAU